rnacentral:lncRNA from 1 species
GCCCCUGUUCUGCGGGAAGAGAUCGCAGUCUUACUGGCGAAAGACGCGAUAGAGCCGGUCCCUCCAGCCGAUAUGAGGACGGGGUUUUACAGCCCCUACUUCAUUGUACCCAAGAAAGGCGGUGGGUUACGACCGAUCUUGGAUCUGCGAGUUUUGAACCGGGCCCUUCAUCGGCUACCGUUCAAGAUGUUGACGCAGAAACGCAUCUUCGGGUGCGUCCGUCCCCGAGAUUGGUUUGCAGCGAUCGACCUGAAGGACGCGUACUUUCAUGUGUCGAUCCUUCCGUGCCACAGACCUUUUCUGCGGUUUGCGUUCCGAAGACGGGCAUAUCAGUACAAGGUCCUGCCCUUCGGGCUGUCCCUGUCUCCCCGUGUCUUCACGAAAGUCACGGAGGCGGCUCUUGUUCCCCUCAGAGAGCAGGGUGUUCGUAUUCUCAACUACCUAGACGAUUGGCUGAUACUAGCACAAUCUCGGGAUCAGUUGUGCGAACACAGGGACCUGGUGCUCCGGCACCUCAGCCUGUUGGGCCUUCGGGUCAACUGGGAAAAGAGCAAACUCUUGCCAACGCAGAGGAUCUCUUUUCUCAGUAUGGAGUUGGAUUCGGUCGAACAGACAGCACGCCUCACAGAGGAACGUGCGCGGUCGGUGCUAGCCUGCUUGAAUACAUUCAAGAGCAGGACAGCGGUCCCACUGAAACUCUUUCAGAGGCUCCUGGGGCAUAUGGCGGCCGCAGCGGCACUUACACCGCUCGGCCUGUUACAUAUGAGACCGCUCCAGCACUGGCUUUAUGGCCGAGUCCCGAGGUGGGCGUGGAAGCGCGGCACUCACCGGGUCCAAGUUACACCGCCUGUCGCCAACCCUCACCCCGUGGUCCAGAUCUUGCGUUUCUCACCGCUCCAGCACUGGCUUUAUGGCCGAGUCCCGAGGUGGGCGUGGAAGCGCGGCACUCACCGGGUCCAAGUUACACCGGCCUGUCGCCAAACCCCCACCCCGUGGUCAGAUCUUGCAUUUCUCAGGGCAGGGGUGCCCCUAGAGCAGAUCUCAAGGCAUGCUGUGGUUUACACGGAUGCCUCCACCACCGGCUGGGGGGCCAUGUACAACAGGCAUGCAGUCUCAGGGGUUUGGAUGGGCCCGCAGCUGUAGUGGCACAUCGAUUGCCUAGAGUUGUUAGCAGUGCACCUUGCCUUGAACCGUCUCAAAGGUCACUUACGAGGCAAGCAUGUGCUGGUCCGAACGGACAACACGGCGACCGUUGCGUUCAUCAACCGACAAGGUGGUCUGCGCUCCCGUCGCAUGUCACAACUUGCCCG